rnacentral:siRNA from 1 species
UCCAUGCUCUUGAUGGACAUCUUC